rnacentral:rRNA from 1 species
CCUACGGGAGGCUGCAGUGAGGAAUAUUGGUCAAUGGACGCAAGUCUGAACCAGCCAUGCCGCGUGCAGGAAGACGGCUCUAUGAGUUGUAAACUGCUUUUGUACGAGGGUAAAUCCCGAUACGUGUAUCGGGUUGAAAGUAUCGUACGAAUAAGGAUCGGCUAACUCCGUGCCAGCAGCCGCGGUAAUACGGAGGAUUCAAGCGUUAUCCGGAUUUAUUGGGUUUAAAGGGAGCGUAGGCCGCAUGUCAAGCGUGCUGUGAAAUGUCCGGGCUCAACCCGGGCGAGCCGUUGAAACUGGUUGUCUUGAGAUGUCGAGAGGUAUGCGGAAUGCGCAGUGUAGCGGUGAAAUGCUUAGAUAUUGCGCAGAACUCCGAUUGCGAAGGCAGCAUACCGGCGGCGAUCUGACGCUGAGGCACGAAAGCGUGGGUAUCGAACAGGAUUAGAUACCCCAGUAGUC